rnacentral:lncRNA from 1 species
GAAGUUGCAUUGUUAGUUGCUAUUUAGUCUCAAAUAGUUAUAAAUAUUAUAAUUUAUAUCUCAAACAAUACAACUAAUUAGUAUCAAAAAGUGUAAGUUAUAUGCAUGUUCUCAAACAAUACAACGUCAUUGUCUUCUUCUUCUUUCUCUACUUUUUGAUCUUUUUUGUAGUGAUCACGACACAUACAUGAUGACCUUCUCAUGAUACAUAAUAGUCUUUUUAAGAGGAGGAAAAAAUGUUUUUUUCUUUAGUUUUUCUUUUUAUUUUUUCUUAUUCUUUUUCUUCCAGUUCCGUAUCUUUUUUUGCGCUAUCGCAUCUCCUCCCUCGCACUCUGUCGUUAUUGCUGCCCCCACCCUGUCGUGCUUUCUCUCCCAAUCGUCCUUAAACUUAAAUCCUAAGACACCCUCAUAGCCGCCCUCAUUGCCAUCCACCGCUAAUCUCUCCGCUAUAGUGUCACUUUCACGAUUUGUGUCAUAUCCAGGCCGGUGUUGUCAGAAGUGUGAGCGCAGUAAAAGAGAAGAGUGCGGUGUCAAUGUGAGCGGCGACAAAGGAGGAGGAGAAGGAAAAAAAAAAAAAAAAAAAAACAACCAGAUGAAAAAAA